AUGUAAUGUGUAAAAUUAAGUCAAUACAUUAAAUUUUGUACAAUCAACUUAAAUGUUUUUGUUGACAAGAGAAAAUCUUAUCAUUUUUAAUGAAUCUAUAUUUUAAAUGAGUCUCGAAAAUAUACACUAGAUUAAAAUAGUCUCAAACACUGUCUUUAGUUUAGGGCAGGUUUAUUGAUGUAUCUUAAUGGUGUAUCUUACGUUAAAUGGGAUUAAAAGAAAUAGAAGAAAAGAGAAUUAGCCAAAAGACGACUCCUAAUUAAGGCCGAGAAGGGGCGUCUCUUGAGCGCCACGUGUCAGCCAUCAAUGGGAGAAAGGAGGGAUGUCCACGUUGCUUCGGUUUCGUCUCUUCUUUUCUUUUUUUCUCUCUGAUUGUCUCCUCUCCUAGGCGAAAAGGCGAUUCGACUGUCCUUCGGUGGCGCUCGUCAACGGAAUGCCGUGUCUCACCGUGGCUCUUGUCGAUGAAGGAAAUCGGCGUCCUUUGUAUCGGUUACUCUCGUCGACGAAGGAAGCCGGCGACAUCUCUCUCCUUGUGGCUCUCGGAGACGAAGGCAGUCGGCGACAUGUCUAUCCGGCGGCUCUCUGAGACGAAGGAAAGCGGCGAGAUCUCUCUCAUGGUGGCUCUCGGAGUGUUUAGGAAAACAGUGAACGGUGACAUCUCUCUCCUGGUGGCUCUCGGAGACGAAGGAACACGGUGGCUGUCUCUGCGCAGGUCAAUGGAAAGAUGGAUUGAUCAAGAGGCUCGAGAUGGAGUGAUCAAGAGGCAAGAAUGAGGUCUGUCAGAUAAAACCCCGACGAUUGUUCAUACAGGUGAGUUCACAAGAGAGGUUAUGAGAGUCUGAGGCAGAGAUACUGCUGAGAGGUCACAAGAGAGGUUAUGAGAGUCUGAGGCAGAGAGCUCACAAGAGAGGUUAUGAGAGUCUGAGGCAGAGAUACUGCUGAGAGGUCACAAGAGUUUUGUUUUCUUGCAUCACGAGAGAACAUGUGUCAUGGAACAUGUUUUGUUUUCUUGCAUCACGAGAGAACAAGUUUUGUUUUGUUGCAUCACGAGUAUCUUGUAUCAUGGAAGUAUUUUGUUGCAUUGCAUCACGAGAACUUGUAAUUUUUUGCAUCAGAAACAUUAUAAAUUGUGUUUUCCAUAGUUGUAGUCAUUUGCCAAUAUCCAAUCUCUCCAUUCUUUCAAUCGCUAAACAAAACACACAGCCGUUUCUUUCAAGUUCUCAUCACACACACUCAUCACAAACAGCCGUUUCUUUCAAGUUCUCAACACACACACACGCAUCACUCUCUGUUGCCAUUUCUCGUUUUACAUUUCAUAUCCAUUCUCUAUAUACUUUCAAUUCUCAUCACAAACACAUUUAUAAAAAGCUAAAACAAAUUCUCAUGGCAUCUUCUUCUCAUCAAAAUUUCGAGGGGUCAAUGGAUGAAGCUUUCGAUCAAUAUUUUGAUCGAGCUUUCGAUCAAGCUUUCGAGAAUUUGUGCAAUAAUUUUGGUGAUCAAGAAGACGAAAGGAAGACAAGAAAAAAAAGAAUUUUUAUGGAAAGAAACCGUGAAGAAGACCAUCUCCGGUUAUGGAAUGAUUAUUUCAGUGACACUCCAACAUAUCCUGAAAAUUUAUUCAGACGACGAUUUUGAAUGAACAAGCCAUUGUUUAUGCGUAUUGUUGAUCGCCUCUCCAAUGAAGUUUCAUUAUUUCGUCAAAAGCAAGAUGUUACCGGAAGACUUGUUCUAUCUGCACUUCAAAAGUGUACAACAGCUAUUCGUGUGUUGGCAUAUGGUUCUGCGCUUGAUGCGGUCGACGAAUACCUCCGGCUCAGUGCAACCACUGCUCGGUUAUGUGUGGAAAACUUUGUAGAAGCAAUAAUAGAUUUGUUCGGCGAUGAGUACCUAAGGAGACCAACGCCGGAUGAUCUUCAACGUCUACUUCAUAUUGGAGAGCUUUGUGGAUUUCCCGGGAUGAUAGGAAGCAUCGAUUGUAUGCACUG